rnacentral:rRNA from 1 species
GACGGAGGAUGCAAGUGUUAUCCGGAAUCACUGGGCGUAAAGCGUCUGUAGGUGGUUUAAAAAGUCCACUGUUAAAAAUUGAAGCUUAACUUCAAAGAUGCCGUGGAAACUUUUAAACUUGAGUAUGGUAGGGGUAGAGGGAAUUUCCAGUGGAGCGGUGAAAUGCGUAGAUAUUGGAAAGACCACCAAUGGCGAAGGCACUCUACUGGGCCAUUACUGACACUGAGAGACGAAAGCUAGGGGAGCAAACAGG